AUUGAACGCUGGCGGCAGGCCUAACACAUGCAAGUCGAGCGGAUGACGGGAGCUUGCUCCUUGAUUCAGCGGCGGACGGGUGAGUAAUACCUAGGAAUCUGCCUGAUAGUGGGGGACAACGUCUCGACAGGAACGCUAAUACCGCAUACGUCCUACGGGAGAAAGCAGGGGACCUUCGGGCCUCGCGCUAUCAGAUGAGCUUAGGUCGGAUUAGCUAGUUGGUGAGGUAAUGGCUCACCAAGGCGACGAUCCGUAACUGGUCUGAGAGGAUGAUCAGUCACACUGGAACUGAGACACGGUCCAGACUCCUACGGGAGGCAGCAGUGGGGAAUAUUGGACAAUGGGCGAAAGCCUGAUCCAGCCAUGCCGCGUGUGUGAAGAAGGUCUUCGGAUUGUAAAGCACUUUAAGUUGGGAGGAAGGGCAGUAAGCUAAUACCUUGCUGUUUUGACGUUACCGACAGAAUAAGCACCGGCUAACUCUGUGCCAGCAGCCGCAGUAAAAC
rnacentral:rRNA from 1 species